UACGUAGGGGCCUAGCGUUGUCCGGAUUUAUUGGGCGUAAAGAGCUCGUAGGCGGUUUGGUGAGUCGGGUGUGAAAUCUCCACGCUCAACGUGGAGGGGCCACCCGAUACUGCCAUGACUAGAGUGUGGUAGGGGAGACUGGAAUUCCUGGUGUAGCGGUGAAAUGCGCAGAUAUCAGGAGGAACACCGAUGGCGAAGGCAGGUCUCUGGGCCACUACUGACGCUGAGAAGCGAAAGCAUGGGGAGCGAACAGG
rnacentral:rRNA from 1 species